GGAGCCUGAAAAUGAAACUCAACCUUUUAUAUUUGCAUAAAAAUGACUCUUCAGCACUUCACUUGGAAAGAAACACCACGGAGCCCGAGUUAAUGUUUUUAGCCCAGCUCCAAAGAGGCAGAGGAGGCCAAUUAUAGCUGUCGAAGGCAAGCUGGACUUGGUCUUUGCAGGUAAUAAGAUCUGCCUGACACUCCCCAUCUGCACCUUCCUAGCGCCAGUUGCUAUCAGAUUACAGUUCCCAUAAAGAAAUUAAAGAAAAAUCAAAUCCUGAACCAUAUGUAGAUUCAGCUCCCUGGUGUUAUCUACCUUUGCCUUUGCCCUCAUGCCCAUUCAGAGAAAGGGUACAUGUGA
rnacentral:lncRNA from 1 species